GAUGAACGCUGACAGCAUGCUUAACACAUGCAAGUCAACUUGAACUUCGGUUUGGGUGGCGGACGGGUGAGUAACGCGUACAGAACUUGCCUCACAGCUAGGGACAACAUUUGGAAACGAAUGCUAAUACCUGAUAUUAUGAUUAUAUGGCAUCGUAUAAUUAUGAAAGCUAUAUGCGCUGUGAGAGAGCUUUGCGUCCCAUUAGCUAGUUGGGGAGGUAACAGCUCACCAAGGCGAUGAUGGGUAGCCGGCCUGAGAGGGUGAUCGGCCACAAGGGGACUGAGACACGGCCCUUACUCCUACGGGAGGCAGCAGUGGGGAAUAUUGGACAAUGGACCGAGAGUCUGAUCCAGCAAUUCUGUGUGCACGAUGAAGUUUUUCGGAAUGUAAAGUGCUUUCAGUUGGGAAGAAAAAAAUGACGGUACCAACAGAAGAAGUGACGGCUAAAUACGUG
rnacentral:rRNA from 1 species